ACAUGGCCGAUGCUGGUCAAAGUGUAGUAUCUGCUCUUAUCAGCUUAAUAUUUGAUACGGGUUGUAUUUAUACCCAAGAUAUUAAACUUACUUUUGCAAGUUGGCGGAAUGCUUGAAGCCUGCUUCACCUGCGCCGCGAGUCGGCCCGGUAUACGGCACGAUCUUCGGGAUCAGCCCACGUUUU